rnacentral:rRNA from 1 species
UUCCGGUUGAUCCUGCCGGAGGUCACUGCUAUUGGGGUUCGAUUAAGCCAUGCGAGUCGACUGCCUUCUUCGGAAGGCAGGGCAGACGGCUCAGUAACACGUGGGCAAUCUACCCUCGGGUCUGGGAUAACCCCGGAAAACUGGGGAUAAUACCAGAUAGAUGGAGAGGUCUGGAAGGAUUUUCCGUCCAAAGCUCCGGCGCCCGAGGAUGAGCUUGCGGUCGAUUAGGCAGUUGGCGGUGUUAAGGACCACCAAACCUGAGAUCGAUACGGGCAGUGAGAGCUGGAGCCCGGAGAUGGGGACUGAGACACGGCCCCAGGCCCUACGGGGCGCAGCAGGCGCGAAAACUCCGCAAUGUUCGAAAGAACGACGGGGGAACCCCAAGUGCCUCAUCUUUUUUGAUGGGGCUUUUGCGUAGUGUAAAUAACUACACGAAUAAGGGCUGGGUAAGACCGGUGCCAGCCGCCGCGGUAACACCGGCGGCUCGAGUGGUGACCACUUUUAUUGGGCCUAAAGCGUUCGUAGCCGGUUCGGUAAGUCUUUGGGUAAAUCUUGCUGCUCAACAGUAAGAAUUCCGAAGAUACUGCCGGGCUAGGGACCGAGAGAGGUCGGAGGUACUCCUGGGGUAGAGGUGAAAUUCUGUAAUCCUGGGGGGACCACCAGUGGCGAAGGCGUCCGACUAGAGCGGGUCCGACGGUGAGGGGCGAAAGCCAGGGGAGCGAACCGGAUUAGAUACCCGGGUAGUCCUGGCCGUAAACGCUGUGGGCUAGGUGUGCAUGCUCUACGGGGGCAUGCAGUGCCGAAGAGAAGUUGAUAGCCUACCGCCUGGGAGUACUACUGCAAGGUAGAAACUUAAAGGAAUUGGCCGGGGAGCACCACAGGGGUGAAGCUGCGGU